ACAGCAGCCGCCGCGGGAAUACAGAGGGUGCGAGCGUUAAUCGGAUUUACUGGGCGUAAAGCGUGCGUAGUCGGCUUCUUAAGUCGGAUGUGAAAUCCCUGAGCUUAACUUAGGAAUUGCAUUCGAUACUGGGAAGCUAGAGUAUGGGAGAGGAUGGUAGAAUUCCAGGUGUAGCGGUGAAAUGCGUAGAGAUCUGGAGGAAUACCGAUGGCGAAGGCAGCCAUCUGGCCUAAUACUGACGCUGAGGUACGAAAGCAUGGGGAGCAAACAGGAUUAGAUACCCGAGUAGUCCCUGUCUCUUAUAC
rnacentral:rRNA from 1 species